CCUACGGGAGGCAGCAGUGAGGAAUAUUGGUCAAUGGGCGGGAGCCUGAACCAGCCAAGUCGCGUGAAGGAAGAAGGCACUUAGUAUUGUAAACUUCUUUUGUCGGGGAACAAAGGCGGAGACGCGUCCCGGGCUGAGUGUAUCCGAAGAAAAAGCAUCGGCUAACUCCGUGCCAGCAGCCGCGGUAAUACGGAGGAUGCGAGCGUUAUCCGGAUUUAUUGGGUUUAAAGGGUGCGCAGGCGGGACAUCAAGUCAGCGGUAAAAUUUCGGGGCUCAACCCCGGCCGGCCGUUGAAACUGGUUGUCUAGAGUUGGAGAGAAGUAUGCGGAAUGCGUGGUGUAGCGGUGAAAUGCUUAGAUAUCACGAAGAACUCCGAUUGCGAAGGCAGUUCACUGGACUGCAACUGACACUGAGGCUCGAAAGUGUGGGUAUCAAACAGGAUUAGAUACCCCAGUAGUC
rnacentral:rRNA from 1 species